rnacentral:rRNA from 1 species
UCCGUAGGGGGCAAGCGUUGUCCGGAAUUAUUGGGCGUAAAGAGCGCGUAGGCGGUCCGGUAAGUCGGUUGUGAAAGUCGGGGGCUCAACCCUCGGAUGCCGAUCGAUACUGUCGGGCUAGAGUCCGGAAGAGGCGAGUGGAAUUCCUGGUGUAGCGGUGAAAUGCGCAGAUAUCAGGAGGAACACCAAUGGCGAAGGCAGCUCGCUGGGACGGUACUGACGCUGAGGCGCGAAAGCGUGGGGAGCGAACAGG